GUCAACCCUUCUAUUAAUAGCCCCCGCCCCCACCCCCGCCCCCACCCCCUGGGUCUUUAUCACAACCAGACACUCAUCAGGUGAUUUGAUUAACAAAUUGCAGAUGGGCAGGAAGCCUUUGAGGAGUUUUUGGCGAGGUAGUAACAGUCCGCUCCAUUAAAGCUCCAGCAUGGUGGUUCUGACCCGCUUCAGAGCAGCGAGCUUCACGUCGCUCAGCCAGUUCAGUAAACGUGGACGUUUCCUGGAGGGAGAGCUUCCGAUGUCUAGAGUCUCGGAGUGGUGCGAUGUUCCUCCAUCUGAAGAUGAUACCCACCCUGGGGGGGGCAGCUCUGGUCCUCAUGUCGAGCAUCGCCUUUUAAAAAUAAAGAAGAGGAACAUCUCUGCUUCUCCACUUCCUCGAGGCGAACAGCUACAAACGGAGUGUUGGACGGGACCGGGACACCGAUUUAGAAUAUUCCAGGCCGCGCUGAUGGCCGCCACCUGCGUUAUCACACAGGCUACAAAGCAGAUGCAGCGGAACGAUUUUGGCGCGCGCGCCGCAGCGGAGACGUGGCGGCGAAUCUGGCAGGACGCUGGAGGAAUCUGCAGGAUGACGAAUGUCUCGCAGCUGAAGACUCCUGCCCACAACGGGAAGAUGACAGAAGACACCUUCAGCCGCGGCAUGUGGGCCCGCCGCUAAAUGCUACGCUGCCGGUCAAAUAUAGCGCGGUAGCUGGAGAGUAUUUUUGGUGAUGGGUGUGAUGUGAAGCGUCUGCGUGCUCAGGUUUCCUACUGAGGGAGAUUCUCGAUGAAAACAGGCUUUCUGAGGUGCAAACGCAAGAUGCCAAAAUGCUCCAAACUGGAAAAAAUUGAUUUUUUUUUUAAGGAUUCAGGAGACGUUAAAAUAACCGUUUCGCUAGAACUGAGCCCAGAGUUUCGCAACCAGACAGAUAAAAGUUAAAAAAAAAGACAUA
rnacentral:lncRNA from 1 species